rnacentral:tRNA from 1 species
GCGGGUGUAGUUCAGUGGUAGAACGCUGUCCUGAUAAGACAGAGGUCGAAAGUUCGAUUCUUUCCACCCGCACGA